UACAGAGGUCCCAAGCGUUGUUCGGAUUCACUGGGCGUAAAGGGUGCGUAGGUGGUGAGGUAAGUCGGAUGUGAAAUCUCCGAGCUCAACUCGGAAAUGGCAUUGGAAACUACCUUGCUCGAGGGUUGGAGGGGGGACUGGAAUGCUUGGUGUAGCAGUGAAAUGCGUAGAUAUCAAGCGGAACACCAGUGGCGAAGGCGAGUCCCUGGACAACUCCUGACACUGAGGCACGAAGGUCAGGGGAGCAAACGGG
rnacentral:rRNA from 1 species